AGUAAUGCCUAGGAAUCUGCCUGGUAGUGGGGGACAACGUUUCGAAAGGAACGCUAAUACCGCAUACGUCCUACGGGAGAAAGCAGGGGGACCUUCGGGCCUUGCGCUAUCAGAUGAGCCUAGGUCGGAUUAGCUAGUUGGUGAGGUAAUGGCUCACCAAGGCGACGAUCCGUAACUGGUCUGAGAGGAUGAUCAGUCACACUGGAACUGAGACACGGUCCAGACUCCUACGGGAGGCAGCAGCG
rnacentral:rRNA from 1 species